rnacentral:rRNA from 1 species
UACGGAGGAGGCAAGCGUUAUCCGGAAUUAUUGGGCGUAAAGCGUCCGCAGGUGGCACCUCAAGUCUGCUGUCAAAGACAGGGGCUUAACCCCAGAAAGGCAGUGGAAACUGAAGUGCUAGAGUGCAGUAGGGGUAGAGGGAAUUCCCGGUGUAGCGGUGAAAUGCGUAGAGAUCGGGAAGAACAUCGGUGGCGAAAGCGCUCUGCUGGACUGCAACUGACACUCAGGGACGAAAGCUAGGGGAGCGAAUGGG